CGACACUAGUAAGAAUAUUCCGCAAUGGGGGAAACCCUGACGGAGCGACGCCGCGUGGACGAUGAAGGCCGGAAGGUUGUAAAGUCCUUUUAAGCAUGAAGAAUAAGGAAAGUGAGAGAAACGCUUUCUGGUGACGGUAGUGCUUGAAUAAGCAACGGCUAAUUACGUGCCAGCAGCCGCGGUAACACGUAAGUUGCGAGCGUUGUUCGGAAUUAUUGGGCGUAAAGGGCAUGUAGGCGGUCUUGCAAGCUUGGUGUGAAAGGCAGGAGCUCAACUCCUGGACUGCGUUGAGAACUACAAGACUGGAGUCACUGAGGGGCAAUCAGAAUUCCUGGUGUAGGGGUGAAAUCUGUAGAUAUCAGGAAGAAUACCGAUGGCGAAGGCAGGUUACCAGCAGAUGACUGACGCUGAGGUGCGAAGGUGCGGGGAGCAAACAGGAUUAGAUACCCUGGUAGUCCGCACAGUCAACUAUGUACACUGGAUGUCUGACCAUAAGGCUGGGUGUCGAAGCAAACGCGAUAAGUGUACCGCCUGGGGAGUAUGCCCGCAAGGGUGAAACUCAAAGGAAUUGACGG
rnacentral:rRNA from 1 species